rnacentral:ribozyme from 1 species
UCAUUUAAAUAAUAAUAAGAUAUUUUAUUAAUAAACAUUCAUUGAAGUUUUCUUUUUAAAAAUAUACAGUCCCCUCUUUACUUUGAUGCAACCACCUGCAU